UAUUUGUAUAGGUUUUAGAAGAGGAAGUGGUCCUUACACCACAAAAUUAUGGAAAAUGCCACUCCCAAAGAGCUACACAGAGAAGCAGGUCAUGGCCAUAUUUUGUCGUAACACAACAAUCAACAACUUGACCACAUACGUUAGUUUUUCUUUUUUUUUGAACUAAAAUUUUGGUUUGGUUUAGUUCGGUUUAGUUUUUUUUUGUGCAAUUUCGGUUUAGUUUUAUAAAGGUAAAUUUGAACUGAAACCAAGCUCUCUUACAUUUACACAAAAUGAUUUAAUUAGGGAAAAUUCUUAAAAAAAUAUCUGAAAUAAUUUCAUUUGCUAUAAAAAUACAUCAACUAUUUUGGUUUUUUUUUUUGUCAUCUAUUUUGGUUUUUGUUUAAUACACAAUUUUUUAUAUAUAAAUAAUACCUAAAUUUUUAAAAAUCGAAAGGUUUAUACCGCUAAAAUUACAAUGUUAUAUGUUGAUGGCGUUAGUUUUAAGUAUAAUUUUUUAAAAAGUUUAGAUAUUAGUUAAGUAUAAAAAAAUAAAUUAUGUAUUAAAAAGAAACUAAUAGUUUAUGUAUUUUUAUAGCAAAUGAAAAUUGUUUCAUGUAUUUUUUUGGAAAGUUUUCCAUUUAAUGUAUCCUAUCCUGUACUGUAAUGUUUAUCCUAUACCAAUAACUAAAAAAGGCAACAGCAUCAUGUAUUUAUAUAUUCCAGAUAUUGUUUCCUUCUUCUUUGUCCAGUAGUCAACUUAACAUCUAUUGUUGUUAUUUGCAUUUUACAUUUACUGACUUACUUUCAGAAUUUCAUUUUCUUUUCUACUAAAAAGAAUUUUCAGAAAGCUUUUGUUUUGUUUUUUCAUUUGGUCUCUCUCUUCUCUCUCUUUCUUUGCUCUUUCUAGUUCAAAUGAAUUGUUGAAAGACAGCAUUUUUUGGAUCUAAUCAAUUUGUCGACUUUACUACUUUGUAUUCGAGUGUGUAAGAUUUAGGGUUCAAGGUUUAUCUUUGAUUUUUUCGAAAUUAUAAAACAAAGAAACUGACCAAGAUAUUGAGCUAAAGAGGAGAGUUCUGAUUGAAGAAGGAUCAUCAAAGCAGUUUAGGUUCAGCAGUAAUGAAGAGCGAACAGUGCGCACAGAAACUACAAUCUUCCGCUCAAACUUCACAAGAGUCCCAAAGUGAACAGAAAGUUAACCAAUCAUUAGAUGCUUCUCCUAUACAAGAUGCCGUUUCUGUAUCUGCUCCAAGCAAUGAUAGUAGGAAAGUCUCAAGACAAGAUAUUGAACUCGUCCAGAAUUUGAUAGAAAGAUGUCUUCAGUUGUACAUGAACAAAGAAGAGGUGGUGAAGACCCUCUUGACCCGGGCAAGGAUAGAACCUGCAUUUACUAGCUUGGUUUGGCAGAAACUGGAAGAAGGAAACGCAGACUUUUUCAGGGCUUAUUACAUAAGGUUGAAGCUGAAGAAGCAAAUAGUUAUAUUCAAUCAGUUGCUUGAGCACCAGUACCAUCUCAUGAAGUAUCCUCCUGUUCCUCCAAAGAUUCCUCUGGCACCUAUGCCAAAUGGAAUGCAUCAUCCCAUGCCACCUGUAGUUGGCAUGCAAAUUGGGUAUCCAGUACUACCGCAUCCUCAAAUGCAUGUUCAAGGCCAUCCCCAUAUUGCUGCUGCAACGGCAAUGUCAAGCUGCCAUGUUGUUAACGGAGUCCCUGCACCUCCCCAUCUCCAGCCAUUGAGGAUGAACUCAACGAAUGAUAUGGUGGUUGAUGAUACAACCGUGGAAGAUGAAACUCCUCCUCAAGUGGUUCCACCAAGCAGUGGCGAGAUGGCAGUGAGUCCUGCUUCUGUGGCAUCAAGUGGACACUUUCCAUUUGUUGAUUCAGACAUGGUAAUGGACACUUCAGUGCUUGAUUCUGAGUUCACGGCUGAUGUUGGAGCAGAUGGAGGAGAAGGAGGAGGAGGAGCUGGGAAUUCUAGAGAUGCGUCAUUUGAUCAGAUUCCCUGGGAUUUUAGCCUUUCUGACCUCACUGCAGAUCUGUCAAACUUGGGAGAUGUGUAUGUUGGAGAUUUAGAAGCGUUAGGAGACUAUACAGGCUCACCGUUUCUUCCAUCUGACUCAGAGAUCUUGCUGGAUUCUCCUGACCAAGAGGGCAUAGAGGAGUUUUUCGCGGACUCCAUGCCUGGACCUCCUUGUUCUAGCUUAGAUGAAGAGAAGCCUUGAAUUGAAAAGGAACCGGCCAUAUAUAAUAACAAUCUUCUCCAGAGAAAUAACAAGCAUUGUUUUUUUUUUUACUUUAAUAACAAAUAUAACUACUGUUGUUAUUUAUAUCAUUAAGUACUUAUGAAUAAGAGAGGUUACAAAGCAAUUGUAACUGGGUAGUGCCUUCUUGUAAUAAAAUAGGCUUAGACUUGCAAACGGCUUCUUCAGCAUUACUUGUGUUGGGAAGCCUUUCAGGUUCUUGCUUGCAUAUCUUCAUCAAGCCUAGAUCAUUUUAACUCGUUUUUUUUUUGGCCUGUUUUAAAAUCGAUAAUUAUGUA